rnacentral:lncRNA from 1 species
UAAGACAUGUGGAGAGCAUAAUGAUUAAAGUUAAAAGAAAGUGGAUUGUGUGGUCCACGUUUGACUGCUUUUGCUGAUUAAGAAUUUGAAAUAGUAGGUAAUAAUAAAAGGGGGAGAAUAAUAAUUAAAGGGGAGAAAGAGUCUUGCUUUUGAUUAUAAAUUAGAAGUCUUUUCGUCACUUAAGAGUGAGGAUUUUAGAGAGAGAAAAUAUUUUUCAGUAUUUGAGGGAAGAAAGAAAAAGACUCUUGAAUCUAAAGAAUUGUUGAGUGUUUGAAAGAGAAGUUAAAGAAACAAUCUGUUCUUCUUCUUUGUUAACAAUUAGCAUCAACUGCUAUUCUUCAUCAGAGCUUCAAGCUUGUUUGUCUUGAUUGAUAAAAAUCAGAAAUUAUCUUUUGGCAUCUGGAUACUUCUUUAUUGGUCUGUCUCUUGGGUUUUCAAUUAUUCCCGCUGUUACUGGGUUACUCGUGUGUUGCUGAACUGCUGUUGCUCUGUGUGUGCUGCUAUUGCUUCCUACUGAUCUUCAUCUUCUUUGUAUUCCUAUACCAGGUACACCACUUUGAAUCACUUUGAUGUACGCUUCGAAGAUGAAAUAAAA